UGCGUAGGCGGACUAAUAAGUCAGUGGUGAAAUCUUUCGGCUCAACCGAGAAACUGCCAUUGAUACUGUUAGUCUUGAGUUCGGUCGAGGUAGGCGGAAUGUGUAAUGUAGCGGUGAAAUGCUUAGAUAUUACACAGAACACCAAUUGCGUAGGCAGCUUACUAGACCGACACUGACGCUGAGGCACGAAAGCGUGGGGAGCGAACAGGAUUAGAUACCCUGGUAGUCC
rnacentral:rRNA from 1 species